CGAUCGGGGAUGGGCUCGCGGCCUAUCAGCUUGUUGGUGGGGUAAUGGCCUACCAAGGCGACGACGGGUAGCCGGCCUGAGAGGGCGACCGGCCACACUGGGACUGAGACACGGCCCAGACUCCUACGGGAGGCAGCAGUGGGGAAUAUUGCACAAUGGGGGAAACCCUGAUGCAGCGACGCAGCGUGCGGGAUGACGGCCUUCGGGUUGUAAACCGCUUUCAGCAGGGAAGAAGCGAAAGUGACGGUACCUGCAGAAGAAGUACCGGCUAACUACGUGCCAGCAGCCGCGGUAAUACGUAGGGUACGAGCGUUGUCCGGAAUUAUUGGGCGUAAAGAGCUCGUAGGUGGUUGGUCACGUCUGCUGUGGAAACGCAACGCUUAACGUUGCGCGUGCAGUGGGUACGGGCUGACUAGAGUGCAGUAGGGGAGUCUGGAAUUCCUGGUGUAGCGGUGAAAUGCGCAGAUAUCAGGAGGAACACCGGUGGCGAAGGCGGGACUCUGGGCUGUAACUGACACUGAGGAGCGAAAGCAUGGGGAGCGAACAGGAUUAGAUACCCUGGUAGUCCAUGCCGUAAACGUUGGGCACUAGGUGUGGGGGACAUUCCACGUUCUCCGCGCCGUAGCU
rnacentral:rRNA from 1 species